GAAUGCGAUCAUAUCAACUCACAUACAUUGGAUCUUAUCAGAACUCCGAAGUUAAACGAUUUUGGACGAGAGUAGUACUAGAAUGUGUGACAUUCUAGAAAGUUCUCGUGUUGCAUCCC
rnacentral:rRNA from 1 species